rnacentral:rRNA from 1 species
GCUCUUGCUGCUGAGAUAAAAUCCACUGAAGUCAUCGCCUCAUCCCCUCUAUGGGGUGUGGACGUGAUGAAGGAUGGAUGAACCCUAAAAUCGGCGCAGCGUAGCGCCAAGGGAAUCUUGAAACACAAGCCCAUAAUGGGUUUUGUGGGAUGGGGUGUUGUCGCACGCCAUAUCGAUUGACACGACUCUCGGCAAUGGAUAUCUCGGCUCUCGCAUCGAUGAAGAGCGCAGCGAAAUGCGAUAUGUGGUGCGAAUUGCAGAAUCCCGCGAACCAUCGAGUCUUUGAACGCAAGUUGCGCCCAAGGCCAACCGGCUAAGGGCACGUCCGCCUGGGCGUCAAGCAUUUUAUCUCUCCGUGCCUAAUCUCCCAUCCAUGGAUGUGUUACUAAGGCUCGGAUGUGCAUGGUGGCUCCUCGUGCCCCUUGGUGCGGCGGGCUGAAGGGCGGGUCAUCUUCUCGUUGGUUGCCAACAAUAAGGGGUGGAUUAAAAAAGGCCUAUGCUAGCUAUUGUGAUAAGCGCGCCAGAGAGAUGAUCAUACUUUUUAGGUGAUCCCAAUCCAUGCGCUAAUCCAUGGAUGGCGUAUCGAAUGCGACCCCAGGAU